GACAAUCUGGCCGAGCGGUUAAGGCGAUUGACUAGAAUGUUCUCUCUAGGAUCACAACGGUCUAUCAUCAAUUGGAGUUUCUCCGCGUAGGUUCAAAUCCUGCGAUUGUCG